GUGAAAAAUGCCUGAAUAAUAACCAAGCAGGAAAUAUUAAAGAGUCAUUUUCUACAAUGGAGGAAACUAGUGCUGUAGAUUCAUUUGUGGAUUUUUACUGUGAAGAAGAAAUGACCCAGGAUCAACAACAUGUGCUGACUGUAAAGCUGAAUAUCAUGAAACGGGUCCAGAUGUUAAAGCUGUUUGCUGUCAUAUGAAGACAACACAGUAUAAAAUCAGCCAUAAAAUAAUUUCUCAGCCUCUGGCGACUCCUGUUGGUGAAAUGAAGAACCAGAUUGUGAUCAAGUGCAGGGAGGAAGAACGUUACAAGAGACAACAGACACAAAUGACUCAGCAGAAAUCAGUGACCUCCCUGGAAAACCAAACCCUGAGAAAGAAAGGAAAACACAAAAGACCAACCUUGAGAGGCUUUUGGAAGAUUUGGGCUUGGAGCAGUACCACAGAGAGAAGUUAUCAUUAAGCAAAAUACUUGAGAUUGAUGAGAAGACGAUCAAUGAUGACCCGAGCAACUGUAAA